GACCAUUCUGAUCAUCUAGUAUGACGUACUUGUAUAACAGAAGCCAUAGAACUUCCCCCAAAUAAUUCCUAAAACAUACCUUUUAGAAAAAAAUCCAUCUUGACUUAAAAAUUUCCAGUGGGGGAGAAUGCACCAUGAUCUUUGGUAAAUUGUCUGUUCCAAUGGUGCAC